AGGGGUGGCAAUUUCGGGUAACGGGUCGUGUUCGUGUUAGCAAUCGGGUCGAUUUCGGGUCAAGCUAAAAUCACUUAAAAUUGAAUAAAACUGAAAAUUGAAGUUACUAGAAAUGAAAUUCUGAUUUCGGGUCAUUUCGGGUCCAUUUCGGGUCGAUCGGGUGAUUUUCGGGUCACUUUCGGGUUUCUGUCUCAGUAAAUCGGGUUUCGGGUUGGGUCGGGUUCGUGUCGGGUUUCGGGUCGUGUCUGAGAUUGCCACCCCUAAGUUGUGUAUCAGCCUCGGCAGGGAGAGUAGUAAAAUGAUGUUAUGUCACAUGUAAAACUACAAGGAGGAGCUCGAUGCUUAUGGUGUUUGAUUAAGAUCUUGAUGCAAGAACUAAGCCACUUAUUAUGCAUUCUGGCACUCACAGAGUCGCAGGCUUUUUUUUCCUGAGGACAUAGGUGGUUUGUGAUUUGUAUGGAACGGUCUUGUAUAGUUUUCUUAGUCAUUUCUCUGUUACUCUGUACAUGUUUCAAGUUUUCCCUCUAUAGUUGAGACAGGGUGGCAUUGGAAAUCCAUGUAGUGGCGUCCCGAGCAAAAGAACUGUAUCAACUAGUCUGGUAGUAUCAAAACAAACUUAAUUACUACUACUAGAUGGCAGAGUCUAGAGUGGUAGGUUGAUAGUCCUGGUCUUGAACUAGUAGGAUGUAGUCAUUAUAUCUAAUAUCUAUCGAAAUUAUGAGAGUAGUAACGAAAAAUAGUGAUAUAUGCAUAAAAUUGAAUAUAAAAUUUUAUAAAAUAUUUUUUAGUUAUGCUAUCUAUGUGAAUAAGUAGGAUUACAAAGAUUCUGGAUCCAAUUUUGUUAUAUGAAAUAUUUUUCAAAUUGUAAUUGCCGUGGAAAAAGAAUAAAGAUGUGGCGACAUACAUAGAUGAUUCCUUGGUCCCUCGUACUCAAUUUAAUACCAAUGGGUCCAUUUUCGAACAUGGCAGUGGUCCGGUCAAAUGAAUUACAUAUCCACCGCGGAAAGCCCCUUGCUUUUGUCAAUGGAAUCUUUGGGCACACUCAUUAUUAUAUGAUUAACCCUUCUGUCAAAUAGGCCCUGGGAGGAAAACAACACCUCCGUUCCCUUUCAAAUGAUCUUUAGGUUCUUACACGUAUUUGACGCAGAACAAGAAUUAGCAAAUGAAUACAUGCAACUAUGCAACUUAUAAGUUAUAACUGCAAAAAAUGGAACAGAGGAUUUCAUUUCUAAUGAAUACGCAUUGUUUCUUCAAGAAAUUCGUAUUCUGUUUAUUUCUUUUAAAAUUUUUUGGGGGUUAAUUCGUGAAUUGUAGUCCGUAGGUUUAAAAUUUGUGUGAUGGUCUGGAUGGCUCGUGGCUAUAGUGUGUACAAAGGUUGAUGAAAAAGAUUGGCGAACGAGUCUCAUACUCUCAUUAUCAAUGACCUAACUCCUGCUACAUGUUGCUAUCUAUGCAUAAAGCUUGUGAGUAGAUUCAAGAAAUAUCUUCUGUAGUUAUCAAGUUAUGCGGGUCAGGAAUCACCUCUGCAGCUCUGCUUCGUCUGUUUUCAAGUGCAAUACUGUGCUAGUUUCAUUUUUCUUGCUUUGCUCACUUCCACUCUUAAAUUUCCAAAUUUAAUUGCAUGCGUGCCAUAACCCUGCCAGGUACAAGCUGCUGCUCUUCUUACAUAAGUUUCUUUAAACUACAGUUAUAUAAUUAUCUUCUAACCUUUACUUCUGUGUAGUUUCGAAUGAACGGCCAUUCCCAUAUUUCAAUAAGAAACAUCUCUUCUCAGUGCUCAUGGUUCCUCGUCUCCCUCUCCGAACAUGGGUCACAAUACCAAUACGAAACAGAGUAGUUGUGUAUUGCUUGAUGCUAGCAAGUUGAAACAUACAUGUGUAUAGAAGUUGGGUUAUUUAGAUCAGUCGUACCCUUAUUAAGCACCUAACAAUCUGCUUAGAAGAUUUAGUUGUAGUCUCCUCGCCUCAUAUUUAUCAACAACAAAUGUUAAGUUAGUCAUUUUGCACUUACCGAAUAAGAUUGUAUUGUAAUUAAUACUCCCUCCGUCCCUUUUUACAUGUCCACUUUGAAAAAGAAAAUUGUCCCAAAUUACUUGUCCACUUCUUUUUUCAAAGCAACUUUUUGUAUGUUUUUUCAAAAAAUAACAACUUCCAAUGUUUGACUAGCAUAUAUAUAUACACAACUCUAUCUAAUUCAUUACAUUUAUUAGGGAUAUGUAUGAAAACAAGAUAUUCAACUAACAUUUUCUUAAGAUGCGUUAUUUUUUCAAAAGGGACAAGUAAAAGGGGACGGAGGGAGUAAUACCGAAAAACGUAUGAAUUUGUGAUAAACAUAAUUACAAUUAAUAUGAUCAUACCAAACUUAAAUAACUUCGAACCAUUCAUGGUAAAACGUUUGGGUAGCAAAUAGACAGGGUUUACUCUGACAAAAGAUUGGAC
rnacentral:lncRNA from 1 species